AUUGAACGCUGGCGGCAUGCCUUACACAUGCAAGUCGAACGGCAGCAUGAUCUAGCUUGCUAGAUUGAUGGCGAGUGGCGAACGGGUGAGUAAUACAUCGGAACGUGCCCUGUAGUGGGGGAUAACUAGUCGAAAGAUUAGCUAAUACCGCAUACGACCUGAGGGUGAAAGGGGGGGACCGCAAGGCCUCAUGCUAUAGGAGCGGCCGAUGUCUGAUUAGCUAGUUGGGGAGGUAAAGGCUCACCAAGGCGACGAUCAGUAGCUGGUCUGAGAGGACGAUCAGCCACACUGGGACUGAGACACGGCCCAGACUCCUACGGGAGGCAGCAGUGGGGAAUUUUGGACAAUGGGGGCAACCCUGAUCCAGCAAUGCCGCGCGUGUGAAGAAGGCCUUCGGGUUGUAAAGCACUUUUGUCCGGAAAGAAAUCGCACUUACUAAUAUUAGGUGUGGAUGACGGUACCGGAAGAAUAAGGACCGGCUAACUACGUGCCAGCCGCCGCGGUAACAC
rnacentral:rRNA from 1 species